ACAUGGAUGCAGUGUCACUUCUUCACAGCCUCGUCAACGAGGCUCAGAUUCUGAGGGUCGGUUUCCAUCAUCACCUAGUGAUAUAUGCCACUCAGCUGACCUGAGGAGGGCUGCACUCCUGCGUUCUGUGCAGAUGAGAACACAACCUACUGGUUCAUCAUCCUUUGAAUUGCCACCUACUGGUUCAUCAUCCUUUGAAUUGCCAUUUGGUUCAGGACACGAGCCUGGAUCAAACAUGGAAGGUGAAGAGCGGCCAUGCUCAUAUAUGAAAUCCUUGGUUGAAGAGAGGGAGUAUCCACUCGAGGAGUGUUCUUCAAUGAGCAU
rnacentral:lncRNA from 1 species